GUAGUCUCGCACAGAUGCAUAUCAAUAAGCGGAGGAAAAGAAACUAACAAGGAUUCCCCUAGUAACGGCGAGUGAGGCGGGAAGAGCUCAAAUUUGAAAUCUUAAAGGGUUUCCCUUUACGAAUUGUAGUUUAAAGAAGUGUUUUCUGUUGAGGUUUUGGUAAAAGUUCUUUGGAAUAGGACAUCAUAGAGGGUGAGAAUCCCGUAUUUGACCUUUACUUUCAACUUUGUGAUACACUUUCAAAGAGUCGGAUUGUUUGGGAAUGCAGUCCAAAAUGGGUGGUAAAUUUCAUCUAAAGCUAAAUAUUGGCGAGAGACCGAUAGCGAACAAGUACCGUGAGGGAAAGAUGAAAAGAACUUUGAAAAGAGAGUUAAACAGUACGUGAAAUUGUCAAAAGGGAAGCGUUUGACACCAGUGUUGUUUUUCUGAAAAUCAAUUAAAGAACUGUUUAUGCUAAGCUGUUUAGACUUUAUCAGCUAACUGUUUAGUUUUGAGCUUUUCUUUAAUGCACUUUUCAGUUAACAAGUCAACAUCAAUUUCUUUUGCUGUAAAAAAGCUUGAGGAAGGUGGCUUGAGAUUCGUCUUAAGUGUUUAUAGCCUCUUGCCUAUGCAGUCGGAGAGAUUGAGGUCUGCAGCGUAGAUCCUUCGGGGCUAAAUGCAUUUGUGCUAAGUUAUAGCAUUUUAUAGACAACUUGUUGACUAUGAUUUGUCUUGUAGCUUACUCGCUUAUGUUAUUUUACCUACGCUUAGGAUGUUGAACUACUGAGACAUAGA
rnacentral:rRNA from 1 species